GGUGAACCUGCGGAAGGAUCAUUAU
rnacentral:ncRNA from 2 species